GUGAGCCUCUUUGCAAACGGUUGAUGGAAUCUGAGGUGAAAGACGUUGGGCCGGUGGAGCGCUAUUUUGGCACGGUAGUCAAGAUUGGCGUGCUGAGACUGCGGCGCUGUGACGGCGGAGUGAGUGAAGACGCAGUGAGUGUGACACGGUGAAGCGACGCGCUGAACCGGUGUCAGACGGAGACUGAACGGACAAACCCUUGAUCCAGGUCGGAUGCCUGGAUGAGGAGUGGCGGCACGUCGAGGGUGCUCAAUGGACCUCAGGAGCCUCCUGAUACUGUCCAUGGCUAUUCUGUACGCCACUCGCACAGGCGAUGCUGCCGUUCGACGCUCGAUCGAUGUUCCAAAAUACGACCUGGAACGCAUGAAAGAUCCUC